rnacentral:rRNA from 1 species
UACGUAGGGACCGAGCGUUGUCCGGAAUCAUUGGGCGUAAAGAGCGUGUAGGCGGCCACUUAAGUCCUGCGUGAAAUCUUGCGGCUCAACCGCAAGCGGUCGUGGGAAACUGGGUGGCUAGAGUGCGGGAGAGGAGAGUGGAAUUCCUGGUGUAGCGGUGGAAUGCGCAGAUAUCAGGAGGAACACCGGUGGCGAAGGCGGAUCUCUGGGCCUUGCCUGACGCUGAGGCGCGAAAGCUAGGGGAGCGAACAGG